rnacentral:lncRNA from 1 species
UCACAGAAAAUAUAAAUUGACGGUAAUUAUCCGUGAACUAGUUUCCUAGAGCUGCUGUAAUAAACUAGCACAAACUAGGUGACUUACGACAGGAGAAAUUUAUUGUAGUUUUUCUUUAUUUGUGUUAUGUUUGUAGACCCCAGUGGAUGCCAGAAACUGCAGAUACUGUCGGAUCCUACUUAUUCCUGCUCCUGAAUGUGCACAAUCAUCCCUUACUUCAAGAACACUGUGAAAUUAAGUAUCCUUACCACAAGAGCCAGCGAACUCAAGGCCAGGACCAGAGUGAAGUAAAUGAUUCACCGUGGUGCAGACCAGAAAGAGGCUCUUUCUUCACAUCGUGCAGGCUCGGGAUUAGCCUUCUUUGGUGUCUCCUUCCCUUCUCCAUCGGGGGAGCUUCCUGUGCCUCACUCCAGCUCAGCCAUUGAAAGAACUAUCCAGAGACAAAGGGAUCAAUUGUGCCCAUCAAAACAGAAUUCCACACAGUUUUAGGUCCAUUCUUGAGAAACUAGCUCAAAGAACUGAUAGUUAUUAAAAUUUAGUAGCUAGUACAGUUACCUUGGAAGUCAGGGCUAGGACAUCUGCCUGUGCAUUUGCAAUGUACUAUGAUUGUUUUUCCAGAAAUUAGAGCUCCAACAUCAGAUUUUGCUAAAUAGGUAUUUUCCAAUUACAAUUGACAGUUUUCAUCUGAUUUUAUGUUGGAACUCAGAGGGAAGUCCCAAGGCAGUCCCAAAACCUGAUAAAAUCAUUGAGAUCCUCAGCACUGAAUAUUCCUAAAUACUGCCCUGCCAUCUUCAUGCCUAUGCUGGAGAAGGCCCAUGUGUAAUCGUCACGUGAUUGUUACCUUGUGCUACCAACAUUAGAGAAAGUCCUAAGGGUUCUUUGGUUGUGUGUUGUAAGUUCUAUUGAGAUUCUCACAGAAAGUCAAAUCGAACAAAAAGGCAUAUUUGAGAGCCAGUUGACAGAGUAUAUAGUGCCCUGUUUUGCAGCCUUCCCAAUGCCUGCAUUGAAUUGAAUUAGCUCCAAACCUAAGAUGAACAAUAACUUCUGGUUACCUCUCUCUAAACGACGGAAUGAGUAUUUCUACUCCAUGGAGCCACACAUAAAUAGCUUGGGUGACCUUUAGGAGGAAAGCAAAACUAUUCAAAGCAGAAGUUUGUUGUUGUUGUUUUUUUAACUUUUUGUCUGUUUUGUUUUUUUCAAAACAUUUUUUCUUGGCUUCCAUGUCAUGUUUGUUAAUGGUUCUAGUGAUGAGCACUGCAUUUCAGAAUUUGCUCAAAUCCUCAUGGAAGCAGCAACUAAGACUGGAGAAAACCUGGCUCUGUCAGGUUAAUCAC